rnacentral:lncRNA from 10 species
AAGUAAGCAACCAUGUUGAGGCAGUCCAUCUGACAAGGUACUGCAGGUGGCUUCUAGAAGCUGUGAGCAGGCUCCAGCUGAUGGCCAGAAAAAAAUGUUGGGGUCUUCAGUCAUACAUCCUUAAGGAAAUGAAUUCUGGCACAAACAUGAGAGAGCUUUGAAGCAGAUUCUGAUCCAGUUGAGUUUCCAGAUGAAAAUGGAGUCUAGACAAAACCUUUAUCUCAGCCUUGUGAGAUUCUGAACAGAGGGCCCAGGUACCAUGUGAAGGCCUGGGCAUAUAACAUGAAACAAGAAAGAUAAGGCCCGUGCUUACAUAGAACUUGGUGAAGAAUCUAGACCAUAACAAGCACACAGAGAAAACGUAUCACAAAUUGUGCUAAAGUUCUGUAAAGGGAUUAAGAUGAAGUGUCACAAGACUGAAUUAGACAGAGUGCCCUUGAAAGAGAAUACUGAGUAUGUUCCUGUGUCACCUUAUUUGCCAAUAGUGCCAAUUUUUAGAAUGGAGGGUGUAGAUCCAUCCUUUGCAACUGGUGAGGACCUCCUCAGUAAGGCACUGAGCCAGGAGUCUAUACAGCCAUGCCAGCAGGGAGCACUGUCUUUCAUUGUCUGAUGUUUAUUGCAAACCUGUUCUUUUCAGCUUUUUGUUGUUUCAGGUCUGCAAGGUACCAGCCUUAAGCCAGCAUAAGGCGUAAAAUGAGUGAGCCUAGACUCUGCCUGCAACAUGUUACUGUACACCUCAUGAAGAACCCUGGAACCUAGUCCAAAGACGUUUACAUCCUGGAAGAGAACUUGCUGGCUUUUCACCUCAGCAUGUAUGGGCCAAACUAAUAUAACAAGAAGUCUUGAGAGGAGUCAGCGGCCAAGCUCCAUGUCUUGCAGCCAAACAAUGCUGUGGGAUGGAAGGUGGGAUGUCAUGUGUCUGGUUUACAGCACUCACGUAUCAGUUGGCAGUUAACGGAAGUGCUACUGAUUGGUGAUAUGCCUACUCCCCCUUCACCUUCGAUCAUGAUUGUAAACUUCGUGAGGACAUCACCAAAGGCUGACAUUGGCAACAUGCUUCCUGUACAAUCUGCAGAACAACGAUGGAACAAAAUAAACACCUUUUCUUUAUAAAUUACCCGGCUUCAUGUAUUCCUUCAUAACAAUGCAAAGCAGCCUAAUACAAAUUGUCAGUGAGUAGGCAGAUUUUCAGAAUGUAUGGCUAAUUGGAAUUUCCAUGGUCCUAUAUGAGAAGAGAUUUGAAGUAAUUCCAUAGAAUGUUAUGAGCGCCCUGGGAGAAGAAAAAGGGUGAUUUUUCAGAAGGAAAAGAGUGUAAGAAAAACAUGAAAUUCAAUUUUCCAAUGACAGUUCUG